ACGGGUGAGUAAUACAUCGGAACGUGCCCUGUAGUGGGGGAUAACUAGUCGAAAGAUUAGCUAAUACCGCAUACGACCUGAGGGUGAAAGUGGGGGACCGCAAGGCCUCAUGCUAUAGGAGCGGCCGAUGUCUGAUUAGCUAGUUGGUGGGGUAAAGGCCCACCAAGGCGACGAUCAGUAGCUGGUCUGAGAGGACGGUCAGCCACACUGGGACUGAGACACGGCCCAGACUCCUACGGGAGGCAGCAGUGGGGAAUUUUGGACAAUGGGGGCAACCCUGAUCCAGCAAUGCCGCGUGUGUGAAGAAGGCCUUCGGGUUGUAAAGCACUUUUGUCCGGAAAGAAAUCGCACUUACUAAUAUUAGGUGUGGAUGACGGUACCGGAAGAAUAAGGACCGGCUAACUACGUGCCAGCAGCCGCGGUAAUACGUAGGGUCCAAGCGUUAAUCGGAAUUACUGGGCGUAAAGCGUGCGCAGGCGGUUGUGCAAGACCGAUGUGAAAUCCCCGGGCUUAACCUGGGAAUUGCAUUGGUGACUGCACGGCUAGAGUGUGUCAGAGGGGGGUAGAAUUCCACGU
rnacentral:rRNA from 1 species